GGCAAGCAGAAGGUCAUACACAGGAGGAGGCAGGUAGCUGGGUCCAGGGGCAGGUAGCAGGUCAUACACAGGAGGAGGCAGGUAGCUGGGUCCAGGGGCAGGUAGCAGGUCAUACACAGGAGGAGGCAGGUAGCU